GAUGGAAAUUGUUAAAACAAAACAAAACAAAAACUACAUAUACAUAAAUUAAUAAUUUAUGUGGACAGAAUUAAUAAUUUAUAUAGACAUAAAUGAGUAGUACAGAAAUAGUUAACUCUUGCAGUACUUGGAAGAGCUAUUCUGCAGGGCACGGGCUCUUGAUCACUGGGACGGGUAGCUGGGCUGUGGGGUGGUCAGGGAGGCUGCCAGCUGCAGCAUCUCACCUCCCAGCCAUAAAACACUGGAAACCCAGAGAAGCUCUUCUGCCUCCAGCAGCUAGUGUGGGGCUGAUCCAGCCCACAGUGAUGUUGUUGUGUAGGGUUACAACGACAACAAGGACUCUAGAGUCAAGUGUUCCCGCAUGACUUUGAAGUGUACUUUUUCUUUUUCAUAAGUAGAUGGCUAUCUCGUUUCCCUAAAGGAGAACAGAUCAUGGUUUCUCUUCCCAAGGACACCCAUGCGCCUGUGUGCAGGAAGGAAACAUCUGUGGAGAGGUGAGUGAAUAACCAAUGCGAGGAUGCACUGAGAUACACACUAGGACUGAUGCUAUGAUGGAGUGGAAGCAGGAGUGGGACUGAACCAUCCCCUGAUGAUGCAAGGUAUUAGAUGCUGUGGGAAUCAAACUGAGCAGAGUGCCCUACUUGACAAAAGGUGGAGGAAAUGACACUGCACAAGGUCAUGUUGUUUCUGGACAAAGCAUUUGUCACAGCUGCAGAAUUGUUUUGUUUUGGAUGAGAAGGGUAAUAUAUAUUUUUAAUCAAAUAUUUAAAAAAAUGUUCCCGAUAUGAAUGUGUUCUAAUGAACAAUGUGUACCAGUCUUUGCUAAUGUUGACUGUCCCCACGACCUUGGGUAAAUUAUUGCAUCUCCUCAUGCAUAUCCCCAUCUAUAAAGUGUCUUCUGGAGAUGGAGUGAGGAUUCAUUAGCUAAUGUUUACAAAGUGUUUUGAAGACAUAAAUACUGUUAUUACUUUAAUGACUUUAAAUUUCAUGAGAUUAAGAGGGCAUGUUGCCCUUUGCAUCCUACUCACCAACUGGGGAGUGCAGUAACCAUCCCACAAAUAAACGCAUCAUUCACAUCAAUCUUACACAUAGCUGUUGUCUGCUAUGAAUUUCCUUUAUAUAUCUAAAUGGUCAGUGGCUGUCCAAUGACUGAAAGUGACUAAUCUUUUAUAGCAAUUAAUGGACAUAUUGUGUUCAUUUUUACAAAAAUUUUACACUGGAGAGGAAAUAUUUUUGCAUGGAGCAAGUAUUUGUUGGCUCCAAGCAACUACAGCAUGAUUUUUUUCUCAAUCAGGAUUGAUAUAUAAUCUAAAGUCCCUCAUUUCCCAAGCAAACAGCAGAAUCUUAUUUAGACCUGGGAGAACAAUUAAAAUGGCAAAAGAUCGAAAUAUAUAAAUUUCUUUUAUGCUGAAUCUCCAGAAGACAUUGGCAGCUAUGGUAGCUAUGGUUAUAUUGUUUCUGUGCUUCCAGACUAAUAUUCCCCAAUGAUGUACCUCCGUUUCUCAUGCUGUGGUUUAAUAUGCUACCGGAGAUCUCUCUAGCACUGUGAUGCAAUAGAAGUCUUAAUGAGAGCCAUUGAGAAAGUGUAAAUGCUCAUAAAAGUCUGAAAAUCCUACAUACUGCUGAACCUCAGAUUUCCACCAACUCUUAGUGUACUUUAACAUUGCUUUGAUUUAUAUCUUGAUGUACAGUCCCCAUGCUAAUGUUAAAUAACUGCAGAGUUAUUGUUCAGGACUCUGUUUCUUCCAUUUUUUUUAUAUUGACAUUGUUUCCACCAUGAGCAAGAGAAGGUUAUGGGGAAAUAUGAGGAACAACUGUUGGGUGUCUGGCAUGGCAUGAAAUCUGCCACGAAGAGCUGGAUGUCGCUACUUACCUUCGCCAGGAAGGAUUGCCAAGAAGGAAGACCAGGAAAACCAUGAGUACAAGACCAAAACUGAAGAGACAGGUUUUUUGGUUUUGCUGCCAUCUAGCAGAAGAUAGACAGUCUGACACACACACACACACACAAUGGGACAGAGAAGCAAAGUUGAUUCCUGGAAUAGGUGGGGGAUAAUAAUGUGGGUUUGGGCUGAGGUCUGAGAUGGAUUUUUUGCCCUAAGAGCUCCGUGUCUUGCUAGGUGACUGCUAAAAGGUGGCUUGGUUUUGGAAGAGUAGGCUGCUUUUCCCUCGUGCUUGUGUUUACUUGCCUUAAGAGGCAAAGGGGCCCUCAAGUGCAGGACCAGAUGGCACUCACCUCACUGGAGGAGUGAACCAGGCUGCUGCCCCAUCAGUCCAGCUAAGCUGAAGGAGAUAUGCGGACACAGAUGAAGAGACCGAGAAGAAUUCAGAUAUACCCUCUGAAGACAAACCCUCCCAGCAAAGGCCCUGUCUCUUCUGUCCAGGCACGCAGAGCACACACCAUUCCCACCUUUACCAUAGUCCUCACGGGCAGCUGUGACAGAGUUGCCUUAUCUCAGUUUGUCUGCUGAGGGGCCUGGCAGUCACGUGUGCUACCUAAGGAUGCUCCUCCAUAGCCUUUUGAAGCGUAGAGAGAGUGAAUGCGUUUCGUUAUACACCCCUGAUCUGAAUCAGAUGACAGAUACCAAAAUACCAGCCCUUUGUUGAGCCUUGUUCUUAGAGGCUUUUCUCACAUCUUGACCCCACAUGAUUUUUUUUCAAGUAUACCUACGGGUUUCCUUCUGCUGCAGGUGCAUCUGUGGGGAAAAAAUCAAGCCCAUUAGCCUUUCUCCUGGAUUUCUGGGGAAAGGAAAGCACUCCUCAUGUGUGCAGAACACAUUUAAAAAUAAUCAAUUACUAUUGAGUUACCUUGGACCAGGUUUGGUCAAAGCUCAUACUAACAAAUGUUAGCUUCUAAAGCAUUUUGAGCAAGUCAUUAGGUGACUCUCAGUUUAUACCACUUUAUUAUCUGAAUGAUCAUGAAGAAAGCUUAGUUAUGUAAUGACCAUGUUAGGCUUCUAAACGAGUUUCCUUUCCUGUAAUCAUUAAUCCUCCCGCUUCCCUCGUUCUUGCAAUCUCAUUUUCUCCUGCAGUAUACGCUCCUCUCACAGAGGUAGAUAACUAGAUCUUGCAGACAGUCAUUUAUGGUCUCUGUUCAUUAGUUCACAGGCAAAGGAAGCUAAGCAGACUCUACUCUGACUUCCCUUUUGUUCACUGGAAACUGAACAUUUAUCAUGGUUUUGUUGCUGAAGGAAAGUUCAAUUCCUAACGUAACACAGGCUAGAAAUUCACAGAAAGAUAAAUGCUUCAGGUUUAGGAACGACUGAGCUCACAUGUAUUCUCAGGGGAAGGGAAAAAAUGCUAAACAUGAGCUGAGGUUAUUGCAAUGUGCCUAUGAUGCCAACAUUCAUUAUGAGGGUCAUAGAAUCACAGAAUCAGAGUGGUUUGGGUUGGAAGAGACCUUAAAUACCACCCAGUUCCAGCCCCUGCCAUGGGCAGAGACACCUCCCACCAGAGCAGGUUGUCCAAAGCCCCA